rnacentral:lncRNA from 1 species
GUCCCAUGAUGGAAAAGCCUUAUAUAGUUUGAAAAAAAAAUAGUGCUGCCUAUUGGAUGACUUUGUAUAUAGGGAACCAUGCUUGAUCUACUCUUUGGGCAUCUCCGGCUAAUCUUCCUUUUCAGUUUAGUUGUGAAAGCUGGCGUAAUUGGGCCUGCUCUAGACCAAAGUCAGCAGGCUCAGUUGACUUCAUCCAAAAAUUGAGAAAAAAGAAAACAAAAGGGGAGC